GAUGAACGCUGACAGAAUGCUUAACACAUGCAAGUCGAGGGGGAAGUGGUGCUUUCACCUUGGCAACCAUGGCGGACGGGUGAGUAACGCGUAAGGGACGUACCUGCAGGACUGGGAUAACAGGGGGAAACUCCUGACAAGACCGGAUAAUGUCAUGGAGCUGCAUGGCUUUAUGAUGAAAGGAGACGCGUGCGGAGAGCCUUGCGUCCUAUUAGCUAGUUGGUGAGGUAAUGGCUCACCAAGGGGGAGAUAGGUAGCCGGCCUGAGAGGGUGGACGGCCACAAGGGGACUGAGAUACGGCCGUGACUCCUACGGGAGGCAGCAGUGGGGAAUAUUGGACAAUGGGGGCAACCCUGAUCCAGCAAUUCUGUGUGCACGAAGAAGGUUUUCGGAAUGUAAAGUGCUUUCAGAAGGGAAGAAGUAAGUGACGGUACCUGCAGAAGAAGCGACGGCUAAAUACGUG
rnacentral:rRNA from 1 species